rnacentral:lncRNA from 10 species
GAAAAUCAGAUUAGGAUGCUUUUCUUAUGAAUUUGCCAUUGAGUCAUGGAGAAAGUAGGUACAUAAUCUCACACUGGCAUGCGCGUGUGCUAUGGAAUGACAAUGGAAUAUAAGAAAGGAAGUACCUCAUGUUCUAAAAACAUGCAGUACGGAGAUUGAAUUUGGUUAUGGUGAUCAGGAUGUUUUUUACUGAGAAUGUGACUCUGACACUUAAUGAUUCAAAUUUGUCUGGGUAGAGAUAAGGCAAAGGAACUACCUAAAGAGGGAGCAACAUAUGGAAAGGCAAAUGGAUCCACAAAUCUGAAACAGGACCUCUACAGCUAAAACUAAGAAAGCAAGGCAUAACUAAAAGUGAAGAAUGAGGCAAAGUCACCACAACACAUAUACAUAAACAUACAUCAAGCCUACUCAUAGCUCUGCAAACCCAUCAGAAUCUGCACAAAUGACUGUGGAAUGUUAGAAUAAGAAGAGUCUAUCAAACAGACUUCCAUCUGCUUCGAUUCCAAAAGUUCAACCUUUAUUAUAAACUAAGCAACUGAAAAUCAAAGUUCUGAAAACUUAAUUGCUUUCCUUAAAUCUUAGUUUCAGUUUAACUUUUAGAAUGAUCCAAUAUGCCAUGAUAUAGGAAUUCACAUUUUGUGUUGUAAUUUUCCUUUCCUUAAUAUCCUGUUGCCUGUUGUCUUCCUGAUAUUUAAUCAAUGACAUUUAUUACAAAGGAAAAAAUAUAUACUGGUGAAUAUGAAAUGGUCUAUAUCAUGCUAACCCCAUAAUAAAACCAUUCUUUUGAUAAUUUGAUUUGAUAUAAAAAGAAAGAGGAGAGAGUUUUGAAUAAUUGUAGGUUGUGUGAGCAUAUUCAGGACAGUUCUUGGAGGGUCGACCAUAUCAUAAUAUUUUAUUAGACCAUAGACUAGAGAGAACUUAGUGUAGAAUGUAACUAUCAUCAUAUUAUGUCAAAAAAAGGGGAAGGGUAAAUUUUUUUUCCAGUUCAGAGGAUUAUAGGAAGGGAGACACCGAUAGUUUUUCAGACGUUUUGGGUUUGCCACGUUCCAUUUAGACUCCUAGAAGACUGCUUCACAGAUUGGUCCUGAGGUUUCAUGCAGUAAAGAAGAUGUAACAAAAUGAGACAGUGAUUCUGAGCAGCACUUCUCCUGACUCUCCAUGACCUGCUCACAGUGCGAAAGAAACCCAGCCUCUGAGGCUGCGAAACAGAAAAACAAGCUAAAUGGUUGGGAGUUUUCUAUAUGCAUUUACUGUAGUGGGUAAUUCACUCUGAUGUCAGAUAAAGAAAUUUUGGGCAGUUUGCCUGGAUGGUAACUAAAGGAGAGUCACAGCAAGAAAUAUGGUUUAGAUGCUUAACUCUAGAGAAAGCUAAAGUGGGGUCAAGUCACUAAGGACAAUAUAAAGAGCCUGAAAUUGUCAAAGUGUAGAUUAUGACUUCCCCUGUCAUUGCAUUCAUCAGUAGAUGACAAGAGAGAGCCAAACCCACCCCAUGGGCAAGAAACUAGCAGCAGUUUCCAACCAGCCCCAGACCUGCUGCUCUCGAUCAAAGAUGGCUAGUGAAACCACCCUAACACCUUCACUUGCCAUGUUCUUAGGAUAGUAAAUAUGAAAUGUUGCCUUCUAAAAAAUCAUUAUUGGAAUGAGAACUAAAACAUGUCAAACAAGAUCCCCUUACAAAGGGGAUCUUCAGUUGAGGAUGUUAGGAGAUUUCUAAUUUCGAAUGUGAAAAAAAAAGUGUUUUCAAUCAUCUGUAAAUGAAAUUUAACAUUUCUAUUAAUUUGUAAUGUAAGCAAUAAAACACAGUAGUAUAGUUAUAUUUGCAAUUUAGUCACCAAUGGAAAUCAUAGAAAUUUUUAUAUUGUAUUACAUUGUUGCAGAUAUAAAUUAUAUUUUACUAUGAUUACUACUUCAAACUUAGAGAAAUUAUUAGAGCUUCCGAUAGCUUCUGCUAUUUACUUCAUUGAUGAGAAAUCACAUUUAUUACUAUACUACAUUUUAAGAUUUUGAGAACUAUAUUUCAGAAUGAUAAUUUUACUUUUAAUACUUUCUACUUGUGUUGUAUUUUUAUGAAAAGCACUGUUAUGAGAGUGCAUCAAUAGGAGUUACUCCUCUGCCAAAGUGGUCUGUGGCAUUAAAGGACAAAAUAAAACAAGCAAAACCGGAUAACAUGUACUUUCCAGUGACUUUGCAAUGAUGGGUUAUUAUAUCAUGGAUGCUUACAGAUUGAAAGAGUUUAAACCUGAGAUGACUGAGGUAUUAUUUAAAAUAGUUUAAAAAGUUAAAUUCAUAGAAAUGGAGAGUAGAGGGUUGUUACUAGGGAUUGGGGUGUGGGGGAGAUGGGGAGAUCUUGGGCAAAGGCUGCAAACUGGCAGUUAUAAGAUGAAUAAAUUCUGGAGACAACAUACAGCAUGAUGACUACAGUUAAUAAUAAUGUACUGCAUCCUUGAAAAUUGCUAAAAGAUUAGAUCUCAAGUAUUCUCAUACACCCAAGACAAAGUAGCUAUUAAUACAUGAGGUGAUGGGCACACUAAUUAGCUUAACUGUGAAAAUCUUCACAUUGUAUAGGUAUAUAUAAACAUCACUUUGUAUACCUUGAGCAUACGCAAUUUUUACUUGUUAUUUAUGCCUCAGUAAAGCUGAAAAAAUUUGUUUUUGUUUGUCCAUAUGAAUGUUUACUUACUUUCUCUGCUGUCAGCAGAAUUGGGGCCUUGAAUAAAAUGAGAUUAAGUCAGUUAUAAAGAAAUAAAUUACCUAUAUUUUCCUUAUAUAUCUAAGUUGUGUUGUGAACAAACUCACAACUACAGAGAGUAAAUAUGAUUUUCCUCAUGCAAAAAUAUAAGUCACUAAUCUGAACAAUGCAUAUUUAUUGAAAGGAUAGAAUAUAUUCCCUUUUUAUUAAUGAGUGCAGCAAUACUUUAUACCUGUGCUGAAUUCCUAGUAUUGAUCUAAAUAGAUAGAACUAACUAUAAUAAGAUUACACAGUAUCUCUAAAAAAUAGAACAGGUAAAGUAAGAAUUUUAAACUUUUAAAUAAUGACUUGUAAAUAAACAUACUCAAUAAUAGCUGAGUUCAGAUUCAUAAAUCUAAAAGCUAUAAUGAGUGGAAGAUAACCCAUUAAAGUGCCACUUAUUAGGCUGAUCUUCAAAUUAUAUUUGUAAUAUUCCGAAUAGAGGAUUCUCUGAUAUGCUGAAUAGAGAAUAAUUUUAUUAAGCAUUAUAAACUUUUUUCUAAGAUAAUUUAUGUCUAAAACUGGAAAAUGUAUGCAAUUUGUAAGCUAAUUUUACUGAUUAGAAAUGUGCAUUAUGAGAAAUUUGCCUUCUGUAAGCAACAUCUGAGUAUAUUUAGAUAGGAUAAUUAUAUUCAAAAAUAAUCCACUCAUUGGUCUUAGGUGUUAAUGAUCAUGUGAUAUGUAACUAAUAUGAAGUAUAACCAUAUAUGUGCAUUAGACUAGUCUCAAACAUUUGAACUCUUGCCAUUGUUGAGGAUCCUUUACUGAUUUUUUGUCAUUGAAUAUUAACUGAGUAAUAUUUACCUUGGGAACAUAAUUUAUAAAUACAAAGAUACUAAAAUUUGUUCUUUUUUAAAAUGCUUACAUUUUUAGAAAAUAAUACACCAGUUCCACCAUCUGUUGUUCAUGGCCAUUUAGUCUGUCUGUUCGUCUAUCUCCUCUAGGUUGUGACUUCUAAAUAUAAUAUUCAAUAACAGUGCCUCUUUUCUCUGGCUACAAGAACCAUACUUACUAAAAAUUGUCUUUAUAUAUAUAUUGGUUUAUCUUUACUGAAAACUGUUGUCAUCAAUCAGAGUCAAUUGAGAGAGUAAUCAUUUGAUUAUUUUUGAAAUAACAAAUCUGUGACAUGCAUAUCUUGGGAAUACCAGCAAAAUUUGAAGUUUGAGGAAGAAGGCAUUAAUCAAGCCUUAUAGGUAGUGUAUUUGGGAAUAAAGGCAUAGUUGUUAAAAAUUCUACAACCUUGACUGGAUGAGUUGAGAACCCUAAUUUUCCCAUGCCUAACUGUUCCAUCUUGAAUGUUACUACAGCCCUCUGUCUUUUUAUCUUCUCUGUAAUGUGGACAUUAUAAGUGUAUCUUAUAAGAAAAUGAAGUUGUAAGAAAAACAACGUGGCAUAUUGUAGGGGUUAGCUAAGUUUAGACACAAAAAUAUGAGCUCAAUGAUGGCUGGAAUUUUGUCUUUUAUUUUCACUAUGCCCCCAAAGCCUAGAAUAUGACUAGCAUAUACAGUAUGCUAGGUAUCCACCUAUUUAUGUUAUAAUAAUAUGCUAUAUCCACCUAUUUACAGUUUUGCUUUCCACACUUUCAGUUACUUAUGUUCAACUGUGGUCCAAAAAUAUUAAAUGGAAAGUUCAGGAAAUAACUCAUUAGUUUUAAAUUGCACACCAUUCUGAGUAGUGUGAUGAAAUCUCCAGACAAGCCCUCCUGCUCUCACAGGUGGAUGCAAAUCACCCAUUUGUCCCAGGUAUCCACUCUGUAUACACCAUCCACCCAUUAGUGACUUAGUAGCAUCUAGCUUAUCUGAUCGAAAACCAUAGUACAGUACUGUACAUAUAGGGUUCAAUACUAUCUGCAGUUUCAGGCAUCCACUUUAAGUCUUGGAACAUAUCCCUAAUGGAUAAUGGGGUGCUACUACAAUAGAUACUAAAUAUGUGCUCAGUAAUUAUAUGUUUAUACAAAUAAAAUACAUAAAAUUUCAUUUUAGCUAAAUAAUAUUUUUUCUGAAAUGUUUGUUUUAUUUUAUAAAUUUGUUGCUAAGACCUAAAAAAAAAUUAAUGUGCAUGUGAUUUCACAAGCAGAGACUCUUGGAAAAAAAGAACAAUGUAAGCUAAUAUAAGAAAAAUGUAUUUGAAUGUAUUUGUCACAACCAUUUAGCAUGCUUUAUUUUAGUCCAUGAGCUCAAUAUCCACAUGAGGUCUAUGGGCAGCAUCUUCUACUUGGAGAACUAUGGAAACAUUCAAUUGCCUAACACAAAACAAAUUAUUUGAUCAUCUGCCUAACAUCCUCAUUAGAUUAAUUUGCUGAAUAUAAUCUAUUACAUAAUAUCAUCAUUUCACAAUACCUAUAAAUAACUUGAGGAUAUUUAUAGCUAUGGAAACUUUGCAGAGGUACUGGGGAGAGAGUGGCUAGGAAAAAUAAAUAAUUUAAUUGGAGGGGGUGCAGAGGGGACUAGAGAAUUUCAUGAAAAGGCCAUUAUUCCCUCUAUGUCUCACUAAAUAUGUGUAGUAAAUUAUUCAAUUUUCAUCAAGUACUUAUGAAUACAAUAGUAAUAUGUCUUAUAUUUAUUCAAAGAUAGUCUAAGUGCAGACCUUAAAGCCUUUAUAAUUUGAAUGAAAUUUGCUAAUUUUGAUUAUUAGUAAGAUAUUUUCUAAAAACAAAUUAAACUUUCACUGUCUAGAGUAAGAGUAGCUCUCAUGAUCCUCAAGAUUACGUUUUGCAAAAUGUAUCCAGAUGACAUUACAAGAAAUCAACGACAUAGUAAUGCAGAAGUUUCUCUCAAAAUUUUUAAUUAUCUAAAUUAUUUAGAAUACAUGGUAACAUUCUUUUCCUGAAUUCCCAUGACAAUAUUUAUAUAGACUAAACAUUUUCCUUCAUCCACAAAAUGGUUGCAAGGAAUGAAUAUCAGCUCCAGGUAUGUGUGAUCACCUGGUAUGUGUGAUACUUGAGUAUCUUUAUAGUGCAUUAGGCUACCAUAUUUUUUUAAGUAAACAUAUCUGCCCAGAAAUUAAGGACAUUACUAUAGUAGGACAUAUUUUUAAUGAUUUAUUAUUAACAUGAAAAUGUUCAUUGUAUGUUAAAACAGACCUUCUCAAUCUAUAAUGUGCAUAAGAAUUCCUCAUUAAAAUGCAGAUUCUAAUUAAGUUUGUCUGCAUUUCUAAUAAGAUGCCAGGUGAUACUGAGACUACCCUGAGGACCACACUUUAAGUGGCAAGACAUAAAACAUCAUAUUAAAUACUGAAAUGCCACCAGAUUUGAUAAAACCUGUUUUCUAAUUUCAGAAAGUUCAUAAGCUAGAAGGAAAUUAAAAAUAAUUAGUCAUGCUAAUUUCUCUAAAAUGAAAUAGUUACCAACAUCUUAAAUUCAAAACAAUCUUGAUGAAGAAUAUAAUACAAAGUCUACUGGAAUUAAUUAAAUUUUUUUACAGCUAAAGAAUAUGCUAUGCUUUUUUAAAUUUUAAAAUAUCUGCAUCAGUAAUUUGUCUGUAUCUGUUUAAAUAAAAUGCCUAUUUAAACAUUUAACAAAAACAGAACAACAAUUAAAAAAAAAAACACCUCUCUAUGGUAGGCAAUGUGGAGUGGUAGUGGUUUCCACUCAAAUAGAAGAGAGGUCUGCAAUGUAUGGCCUGUGGGUCAGAUCCAUACUACUACCUGCUUUCAUACAGACCACAAGCUAGGAAUUUUGUUUUUUUUAUGUUUUCUAACAGUUGAAAAACAAUUUACAAAAGAGUAUUUCUUAAAAUAUUAAAAUGAUACAAAAUUUAAAAUUCAGUGUUUAUAAAACUGCUGCUGUCACACAGCAAUGCCCAUUCAUUUAUGUACAGUCUAUGGAGUCUGCUAUGGCCUGAAUAUUUGUUUCUUCCCAAAACUAAUACGUUGAAACCAAAUCCACAAUGCGAUGGUUUUAAGAGGUAAGGCAUCUGGAGAUGAUUAGGUGAUGAGGAUGAAGUCUUUAUGAAUGGCAUUAGUGCCCUUAUAGAAGAGGCCCAGGGGAGUUUGUUUGCUCCUUCCAAUAUGUGAAGAAACUGCCAGAAGGUGCUAUCUAUGAACCUGGAAAUGGACCCUCAUGAGAUACCAAAUCUGCCGGCACCUUGAUUUUGGACUUCCCAGCCUCCAAAACUAUGAGAAAUAAAUCUCUGUGUAUGAGCCACUAGUUUAGGGUAUUUGUUAUUGCAGCACAAACUGACAAAGACAACUGCUCUCAUGUUACAGCAGGCAGAGCUGAAUGGUGGCCACAGGACCACAUGGUCCAUAAGCAUGGAAUUUGUAUUUUCUGUUAAUUUUGUAAAAGUAUAAAAACCAACCAGGAAAGUAAUGUGUGUGUGCAUUAGAUAUUUUUUCUAGUAUUGUAGUCAUGUAAAUAUACAUUUUCUAUUCCUUAGAAGAGGUAUUUUUUAGUUUUAAAAAGGCCACAGGACUUGAAGUCAGGAGUCAUGUCUUUAAGGAUCUGGAGCAGAAACUCCAAUGCUGUUAAAUGAGAGGGUCAUAUCACAAGGCUUCUAUAACCCUUUUCUGAUCCAGCCUUUACAUAGGUAUAUAUUAAGCUUAUUUUUAUUUCUUUGCUUUAAAUUUUUCAACUCUGUGAUGUUGUACUAAAAGGAAAAAUUGAUAUUAUUUAAACUGUUUAACACAUGACUUUCCUUUCUAUGAACCUUGAAUUUGUUCUUGUUUAAAGUGUUUUAUUGUCUUGGCUCUAUAAGCUUGUUUCUUUUGCAUACUGUGGGAGUUUAAAAUAGGUUAUUUGUGUAGUCAUCUGAUCAAAGUUAGUGAAGUUUUAUUGCUACAAUAAAAUAACGUUUAGCACAAACUCCAAAUUUUAAUAAAAAUUCCAUCUAUAUCCAAACAUAAAACACACUGUGUAGCUGAGUUGUAAUUUUUGCCUAAACUAUACGCUGAAGAUUCAUGAAGGAAACCUAAAUAUAUGAAGUAUUUAAAUAGCCAGCUUAGAGACAGAAUUACUUAUGCUAAAGGACACAAACUUUCUACAGGAAAAGUAAAAUAAAUGGAAAUGUUAAGCAGUUUCGCAAACUGCAUUUGGCAUUUGAUAUAAAGAAAGCAAAACAAUAUAAAUUUUAUGAAUAGUAAGAAGGAUCCAUGGGCUUUUGGAAAAUUUCUUAUAUAGGAAAUAUUUCAUAGCAGAUUAAAUAAAUAAUUCAAUGUAACAAAGGAAUUCUCCAACAAUUACUAACCUUUAGGAAGGUUCUGUAUAUACUGUUUCCUAGGCUGUAAUUCCUUGCACUUACUAGCUGGAUGAUGUAGUCCAGUGAAAUUAUCUCUUUAAGCCUGUGUGUGUGUAAAACUGAUAAUUAACUAUUAUAUAUAUCUUGUAUAUUAUAUGCUAUCCCACAAUAUUUUUGUUUGUAUUCAAUAAAAUAAUGUAUUAAAUUUAGUCUUAUCAACAAUAAAUCCUUGAUAAAUAUUUGCUAUUAUUAUAAAUUUUAUGGGCACACACUUUUAGGUAAGAAAGGAUCAGACUGACAAUAUUUUCAAAUGUAUAAUUUUAAUAUAAUUAGUGAUAUUUUAGCAAUUGAACGACUGAUAUUCUUUGAUAUUUUAUUCAAGCAUACAGAAAUAAGACAUCCUAAAAAGAGGAAAAAUGGCAAAUGGUAUUUCCUAUCUAUAUCUUUAAAAAUAGCCUUAGUGACGUACAAUUGUACACACAAAAACUGAAUGUUCUCAUAUACGAUUUGAUGAGUUUU